AACGCUAGCUACAGGCUUAACACAUGCAAGUCGAGGGGAAACGAUAUUGGAAGCUUGCUUCCGAUAGGCGUCGACCGGCGCACGGGUGAGUAACGCGUAUCCAACCUGCCCACCACUUGGGGAUAACCUUGCGAAAGUAAGACUAAUACCCAAUGACGUCUCUAGAAGACAUCUGAAAGAGAUUAAAGGUUUAUCGGUGAUGGAUGGGGAUGCGUCUGAUUAGCUUGUUGGCGGGGUAACGGCCCACCAAGGCGACGAUCAGUAGGGGUUCUGAGAGGAAGGUCCCCCACAUUGGAACUGAGACACGGUCCAAACUCCUACGGGAGGCAGCAGUGAGGAAUAUUGGUCAAUGGACGAGAGUCUGAACCAGCCAAGUAGCGUGCAGGAAGACGGCCCUAUGGGUUGUAAACUGCUUUUAUAAGGGAAUAAAGUGAGUCUCGUGAGACUUUUUGCAUGUACCUUAUGAAUAAGGACCGGCUAAUUCCGUGCCAGCAGCCGCGGUAAUACGGAAGGUCCGGGCGUUAUCCGGAUUUAUUGGGUUUAAAGGGAGCGUAGGCCGGAGAUUAAGCGUGUUGUGAAAUGUAGACGCUCAACGUCUGCACUGCAGCGCGAACUGGUUUCCUUGAGUACGCACAAAGUGGGCGGAAUUCGUGGUGUAGCGGUGAAAUGCUUAGAUAUCACGAAGAACUCCGAUUG
rnacentral:rRNA from 1 species